rnacentral:rRNA from 1 species
GGCAUGCUUAACACAUGCAAGUCGCACGAAGGUUUCGGCCUUAGUGGCGGACGGGUGAGUAACACGUAGGUAUCUAUCCAUGGGUGGGGGAUAACACUGGGAAACUGGUGCUAAUACCGCAUGACACCUGAGGGUCAAAGGCGUAAGUCGCCUGUGGAGGAGCCUGCGUUUGAUUAGCUAGUUGGUGGGGUAAAGGCCUACCAAGGCGAUGAUCAAUAGCUGGUUUGAGAGGAUGAUCAGCCACACUGGGACUGAGACACGGCCCAGACUCCUACGGGAGGCAGCAGUGGGGAAUAUUGGACAAUGGGGGCAACCCUGAUCCAGCAAUGCCGCGUGUGUGAAGAAGGUCUUCGGAUUGUAAAGCACUUUCGACGGGGACGAUGAUGACGGUACCCGUAGAAGAAGCCCCGGCUAACUUCGUGCCAGCAGCCGCGGUAAUACGAAGGGGGCUAGCGUUGCUCGGAAUGACUGGGCGUAAAGGGCGUGUAGGCGGUUUGUACAGUCAGAUGUGAAAUCCCCGGGCUUAACCUGGGAGCUGCAUUUGAUACGUGCAGACUAGAGUGUGAGAGAGGGUUGUGGAAUUCCCAGUGUAGAGGUGAAAUUCGUAGAUAUU